UCUCUGAAAUCACUUAACACACAUAUCAAGGAAUCGAAUGGUAAUAAGAGAGGAUUAAGAUUAGCUAAAUUAAGACCAAAGAAACAUGUUUCCAAUCAUAGCACAAAAUCAGGAAGGAAAUUGUAAAGCCAUGCAUUUAGUACGAAUAAGUGAGCAGAGAGUUGAUAAAAACCACUCAAAUUAGCACAGGAUAAACCAUAAAAUAGUGGUUUAUCACACUUCCUUUGGAUUUGGUUUUUGCGAUUAAGCUUUACCUAGGUCUUGCUGGAUUGCUCGUGGGGCUUUUAAUUAGUGUUGUUAGCUGCUUUAUUUUAUUAUUAACCAAUAGCGCAUAAAAAGCCUGUUUAUCUACACCAUGCUAAUACUCAUGAUGCUUAGUUAAAUUUAUGUAAGUUUUAACAUAUAGAAUUAAGUAGGUAAUUGCAAAAUUAUUGUAUUACUGCUACUUUUACUUAUGCUGAUGUAUGAUUGCUUAUCUAUUGCCACUAAUUACAUGGGAAUUCAUUUUACCUAUGUUGAUGCAUGAUUGCUUUAAUCCUUCUUUAAGGACCUGAUUAUUGAUUUGUUGUGCUCGUUGCUUUCUUUUUUCUUUCUUAUUUAUGAAUAUGAAACUUUCUUUUACCUAAUGGAUGCAGUUUGACUAUGUGGAUCAAACAAGUCCUUAAUGUAUUGGAUUGUUGACUUGGAAAAAAGGGGUAGUGAUUAAUGAUUAAUAAUCUAAUAUUUUUAUAAGCGAUAGGCCAACUGCAUAGAUUCUACAAUACCAGCAGAGUCGGUAUUUGCAAGUGAAGUCAAUAAACUGAAGGCGGAGCAGUUUAAGCCUUUUGAGCAAGUCACCCUUGAACCAUUCAAACGGGAGCAUGCCUGUGUUGUUGGUGGAUACAGAAUGCCUAAGAAGAAAAAAGAUGCCGAGUAAAUUUGUUUUUUUUAGAUUACAUUACAUGUUUUAAUAUUCAGUAUCUUGAGAUGUUGGUGAUAAUAUUGUGAUAAAGAAAUCUUAAGAUUUUUAUAUCUACAUCUUGUUCUGAUAGUCUCUAUUCGAUAGAAGCUUUCCAAAAGAAUAUAUAAUGUAAAUUUGUAAGUUCAUGGUUGGGUUUCUUCUUUGUGUUAAGGCUGGUGGUUUUCACAAACUUUAGGAUGAAAGUUUCAAAGCUCAAGUAUGCCCUUCUUUCCUUUACUCCCUAGUAUCAUAUAUUGACUUGUGUUUAAUUUAUUGGUAUUUGUCUUUGAUGAUAAUAAAAUUGUUUAUGUUCUUAAGUAGAGUUUCUAUAGUUCUAUCUCUCUAUAAUUCAUAAGUUUAAUUGGUUUUUGUUUGACUUGUAGUCAACUAGAAAGUGUGUAACAAAAAUCUUAACAAGAUUUGAGGAGAAGAUCUAGAGAAAAGUGAGUUUUCUUGCAAAUUAUAGAAUCCUAUGAUGAGUGUUUUAUUGAAUAUGAUUCUUAUUGAUGUUGCACCUUCAUCGCUAACUCCCCAUGUACUUUGGCUAUUCUUUUUAUUUUAUUUAAUUUUAGUUUUUUUGGGUUUAUACAUCAAUGAAAAAUAAAGGUAAAGUGAUUCCUUAAAACCUUUUGCCCACAACUUUGCAUUAAUAUCUAUUUAUAUUUAUGUAGGAGUGCUUAGGCAAACACUGUGUUAACAAUUCAAAACUCUCUGAUGUCACAUUCUUGGUUGAAGGAAAAAGAUUCUAUGCUCGUCGAGUUUGUUUAGUCAAGUCAGAUAUAUUUCGAGCAAGGUUUGAUGGUGGUUGCAGGGUAGGCCUUGAGUAUCCUUCUCCACGAUCUCCUUCUCAAUCCUUCUAAAUUAAACCCCUAGCAAUACCUUUAAACCCUAUAGAGGAAUUCGAUAAGGAAAUCUAAUAUCCCAUUAUCUCUUUAUUUUAUGUGCUUAAGUUCUUUUAGAAUAGUAAACUUAUCUGGAGAAUUAAAAUUGUCAGACAAGCACCACAGAUUAAUCACCUCUUCUUUGUGUA